rnacentral:rRNA from 1 species
UACGUAGGGGGCGAGCGUUGUCCGGAAUUAUUGGGCGUAAAGGGUGCGUAGGCGGCGCGGUAAGUCGGGUGUGAAAUCUCGGAGCUUAACUCCGAAACUGCAUUCGAUACUGCCGUGCUUGAGGACUGGAGAGGAGACUGGAAUUUACGGUGUAGCGGUGAAAUGCGUAGAUAUCGUAAGGAAGACCAGUGGCGAAGGCGGGUCUCUGGACAGUUCCUGACGCUGAGGCACGAAGGUCAGGGGAGCAAACGGG